UCCUAAUCGUCCUGAGUUGGCAAAGUGUCAGCUGAUGUUGUACCAUGACUUACUUCCUUUUCUCCAGACAGUUUACUAAUACUAAUGUUUCAAUUACAAAUUUUAGACUGCUAUAUGCAGUUACUUUUCAAUCUCGACAUACUGCCGCUGAUUCUCGUAGCUGUGGGCCACACCACUGUCUGCAAUUUCGCUGUUGUGGUGUGCAGAAGUUGACAAGUUAUAUGCACCCUGUACUGUUAACUGCUCUCACGUCUUCUGUACAUUUAUAUGAAGAGCUCUUUAUGGUAAUAAUAUACAGUCUUACUUAUAGAAAAAGUUAAUGACCAUGAUAAGUAGCAUGAUAAAGAGAUUUGAUCGAAAGUGCUAUUGAUUUGAACUGUUUUUAUUUUUGCUGUUGUUAUUUCAAAGCGACAUUUUCCAUUUUACAACUGAGGAACUGUAAUAUUUGAAAUUUGGAAAUUUGUGGUAAGUUCUACGAAACCAAGCUGCAGAGGUCAUCAGUCCCUGGGCUUACACACUACUUAAUCUAAUUUUAGGUAACUUACACUAAGGACAACACACACACCCAUGCCCAAGGGAGGACUCAGGACUCGAACCUCCAACAGGGAGGGAGCCGCACGAACCGUUGCGAUGCGCCCUCGACCGCAUGGCUACCCCUCACAGCAGUAUUUGAAAAGUAUACUCUGUUGAUGGAAGGAACUGAACGUCUAUAAAAUGGCAACUCCUCAAGAGAAGGCACAAUGUGUGUCUUGGUUUAGUCAGACAAAAUCAGAUGUUCAGACUCAACGAAACUUCAGAACGAAGUAUGGAAGAGGUCCACCAUCGCGCCCUUCAAUCCGUGCAUGGCACAAAAAAUUUAUGGAGAGAGGGACAGUGUUGGAUAAAGGGAGGAGUAGAAGACCAAGAACAUCUGAGGAAAACAUCGAUCGCGUUUUAAACGUCUUCACUCGUUCACCUACGAAGUCCAUCCGCACUGCUGGCAGACGGUUGCAACUACCACGUUCAACUGUGUAUAAGGUCCUCCACAGGAACUUACUAUUGUAUGCUUACAAAGUGCAACUGUUGCAGACACUUGAGCAAAAUGACAAGCCAAAACGGACAGAGUUUGCACUCAACAUGCUAGUACGCCCUUCGGCGCAUGAAGCAUUUCUCAAUUGAGUUUGUUUCAGUAACAAGGCAACUUUUCAAGUUUCUGGGUCAUUAAACAGGCACAGUUUGAGAAUCUGGGGAUCUGAACACCACCAUGUGACUAGGGAGCUUCACCAGGAUAGUUCAAAAGUGAGCUUGUGGUGUGGAAUCAUGUAAAACCGAAUAAUUGGUCCAUUUUUCUUCAACGAGUCAACAAUUACUGCAGAUGUUUACUCGAACUUCUGACUGAAUAUGUAGCACCACAACUGAUUGACUUACAACCAACUGUCAUUUUCCUGCAAGAUGGUGCACCACCACAUUGGGAACUGCAUGUUCAUCGGUUCCUCAGUGAAACGUUUCCAGGCAGAUGGAUUGCGAGGAAUGGACCAAUUCCUUGGCCAUCGCAUUUGCCAGAUAUCAUUCCCUUGGACUUUUUUUUAUGGGAGUAUGUAAAAGCUAUCGUGUAUCAAACACAGAUACGGGACAUUGCUGACUUGAAGCAAAGGAUCCGUAAUGCCAUUGCCACCAUUGAUUACGCUAUGCUACAAUGAACAUGGCAAGAAAUCGAGUACUUUCUUGAUGUGCUUCAUGCAACUAAAGGCGCCCAUAUAGAGGUCUAUUAAACACUGUCAAAAAAAGCUUUUAUAAACACUGAUUACAGUAAAAGAAAUGUUGUUGAAAUAUUUCAAAAACUGCCAUUGUAAUAAAAUUUUGAAGUUUUAAA